GGCGUCGUCGUCUCGCAGCGCCCCCAGGGGACGGGUCCGCCUGCGCGGGGUGGGAAACGGGCGCGCUGAAAUGCGCUCAGGUAGAGGUGGCCGUGAGUGCAAGGCUCGGCUGCACGCGAGAAUUCGCAGUGAAAGGGUGUGCAGGAAAGCAGGGCUUCUCGUAUGAUGGAAGCAGAAAUUCACCUUCAGAGUUCGUCCCUAAGGGAAACGCGACGGGACUCUAGCAGUUGGAUUUCAGCAAGCUGCUGCUGCACACUCGCGUUUCCCGUUGGAUUUGGUGAGGUCCAAGAGGGUCCAAAGCUCUGUGCUUAAAAAAGCACUUAAGGUGUAUACCAAAGGGGAACUUUGAUCAUCAAUCUGGAGGACUCUGGAAAACGAUGUGAGGUGUUGAGCUGUAGUCUUGCAUCAUAGAAGUGAUCUACUGGGCUGGAAAGCUGGAAAGCAUUAUUUCCUUCUAGCAAUCCACGGGAGCAUAUGAGGAAGGGGAGCCAAUUUUUACACGAAGGAAAACUACUACCAGAGAAGCAGAAAUGCAGAGCAGCCCUGCUACUACUGUGGACGACCUGAAGUUCUAGGCUGGACCGACAGCCAGAAAUGCUUGCCUUGCUACUUGAUGAGAUGUGAGAGACAACACUUCUCCUUCAAGAUUUAAGAUACUGUUCUUCUGGAGGAAAACACUGUAAGCAAUCCGAGAUGCACUUUUUGUUUGAAUCUCCUUUUUCCAAAAAGGUACUGCUGUGGUAUGCUUGGAAUAUUUGGACUUUCCUGUAAGAAUCUAUCUGCCAGUAACACAGGCUGAAAAACAAGGUGAAAAAAACACUUAAUUGCUAUCAAAUUAAUACUUCAUCUUUGUAUCUUAGUGUCAUUUUCUCUUACUGUGUAUUUUGGUAUGCAACAACAGCAAAUGAAGCGUGCUUCUCUCUUAGAUUUGGUUGCUGUUUUUGUUUGGUUGUUUGUUUUUGUUGGUGCAGGUUGACUUUCAUCCUUUUGCUCUGGAUGGAAUGGAACUGGCCUACCUGCCUGCUUGUAAGACUGGCCUCCAUGUUCCUGUGCUGGAAGAGGACAGAGGAGCUCUGGGAAAGGGCAGUGCGCUGUUUUGAACUGGUGUGCUCACACACCGUGGAGCUGCUUCCAUGCCCUCAUAUCACACCGGAGCCUUGGUUAUUUUCUGCAGAUUCUCCUCUGCAGUCUGGUUCGAAGCUUGUGAGCUGAAACCAGUUCCACAGCUUCCCUGGUACUCUGCUUUAAAAGUUGCUCUCUGGCUCCAUCUUCUGUUUUGUUUGCUGAGUUUUGUUUUUCUUUUCUAGCUUUGGUAUAGCAGGGUGAGAUUUUUCUGAGUUUUAUAAAGUGUACUUGUUUUAAAAAGUAGGUAAUUGCUUCUUGUGUGACAGUUGUGACCAUCAGGUGAGCAGGUGGCCCACGGGGACCUGGCCUUUCCCAGCUCUACCAUUAGCCCUGGUUUUAGAUACUUGUUUCUGCAAAGCUGUUACUGCUGGUAGAACCAGAAGAAAACACAGCCCCAAAAGCAGUGUUUUCCCUUUUGGGUAACUGUUUUGCAAAAUGGUGGCAUGAUCUGACAACACAGUGACACCUGGCAAACCUUUCAACUAGAGCUGGAAAGCAUUGGGGCCACCAAGUAGGAGUGAGAUGACUUCAAUAAACAGCUUGGAUUUUGUGGAUACUAACAAAAACAGUCCUUUAGUUGAGUGCUGAGCAAUUAUAUAUGUGUAAUAUUUAUAAUACCAGGAACAAGCUUUUCAUAAAGAAAAAAAAAUGAUUUUCUGUUGAUUAAAUUUUAGGCCAGAAGACAUGCCCCUGUGAGCUGUGAAGUAAACUGAUUGCAGUUGCUCUCACUCUGCAAGAGGAACUAAUGUGGGAGAGAAGCUGCACUCUUCCCGAUUCAGUGCUUAGUUUCAAAAGUGCUCCAUUGACAGCAAGCCAGAUUUCAGCUUCCGAAGCCUCUUCCUCGAUCACCCAUGCAGAACCAAAGGGCUUGUACACACAAAAGGCCUCAGGACUUCAGAACUUGUUCUAAAUCUUCCUUCUCUGUGAUAUUGAAGAAUCAAUACAUUCAUAUUCUAUUUGGAAAAUGGAUUAAAGUCAUCUAUGUAACUUGGUUAAAAGCCCUGGAUUUUCCUAGGACAGCAAAAUACUUUCAACCAACUGAGCAUAUAGAAGUCAAGAAGAUCAAAAGAGUACUACCUUGGACACGAGAGGAAGUUUAUGAAGAAAAAAUGCAAGUAUGGACAUUCAUAUAUGAAAACAUACAUACACAUAAAGAUUCAAUGGAGAAUGAGGGAGAAAUGCCAUUUCUUCUAGCCAAGACAAUUCUCAAGGGGAGAUUUAUACACUUUUUAUGCUUUGUUUUUUAGAAAGCGGUAACAUGCUGUCCUAGUGCUGACUAGCAGAAGAACUAAAAGUUCUUGGACCACCAGCAGCAAGAAAUCACAGAGUUGUAUUUACAGAGGCCAUUAAUUGUCCAGAAUGUUGGGUAACAGAUUCUGAUAAACACGGAUCAUGAUAUGGUUCUUGAAUUAUGCAGAGGAUUAUUUCACAAUCCAGAAAACAGAGAAUUCAAGCAUAGAAAUAGCCAUACAAAACAUCUUACUGCUAGCUGGGGAGGAAUUUGCAAUAACAUCAGAAUUACAGGAAAGUUCAGUGCUACUGACAGUGGUGUGCUGGAUCACUCUGUGUUGAUAAGGAACAGCUUUACUCAGUGGUCACAGUUACAGUCACAUACUCCACAAAGUGACUGACAUUAUGGCAAAAUGGGCCAUAGCAAUUAGAGGAAUGUUGUGAAAAAAGCUAACUGGACAGAAGUAAAGCCUACAAAUGUCUUAGUGAAAACUACUGUAAAAUAUGUUGCUACAUGGGUAAUAGAUUUCAAUAUAUAAAAAAAAAAAAAAAGGUACUUAGGAAAUGAUGAGCAGAUGUAGCAGUGGGAAAAGAAAACAAAAAAAAGCACUAUGGUGGAAAUAGGCUGGAGCAUUCCAAAUGAUACACAGUUAAAGCACAACAAAUCUUAGCUCCUCUUGAGAAAGGAAUACUGUCCCUUUCCUGGUAACUUAACUGUUCAGUAGAGGACCACAAGUGAGCCCAGUACUGCUGCCUUUACUGUAAUCAGGUUAAAGGGCUGUCACUUACCUCUGAAAUGGGAGCUCAAGUGAUAUCUGUCAACCUUUGGAAGAUUUGCUGGAUCAGGAGUUACUUAUUAGCUGCUGCUGAAGUCAAGCACAGAGCACAGCCAAUCAUCAAAAACACAGGGAGUGAAGACUUGUCAGGGCAAAUGAGCAGUUUCAGCUUUUUUCUCUCAGCCAGCUGUGGAGAGCCACGCUGAGUAUCCAAGAUAAAACAUCAGGAAAAAGAUAUUGUAACUGAUGAGAUAGAGAGAUAGAGUAACUAAAAGAUGAGAUAGAGAGAACCUGAAAUAGAAGACAUGAAUGAAGAAUUGAUCAAGGAAAAUGAAAUAAAUUGGGGAAAAAAGUCAUGAUACUGUGAAAAGGGAUGCACUGUAUGUCACACUUAAAAGCCUAGAUUUGUCUUCUUUGAAUUAUUAACCUCCGUCUUCCUUCAAGACCACAGUAAUGCAGAUCAGUGGUAGCUGAGUAUUCACAGCUCACAUAAACCAGUCAAACAUGAACACAUACAACAGUGUCAGGGCCUUCACAAAACAGAAAUAACAGCAAAUAGAAAUACCUCAGGAGAUGGAAGGAGCAGGAGGAUCUCAGGGAAAGCAUUACACUCAACGCGCAACCAGCGUACACAAUGUACUUUGCCAAAACUGGAGAAGUGUAUGCUUAGCGUCAGCAUGAAUUAUGGGAAGGGAUUUCUUGGACUUUUCGUUUUGGAUCAGUGUUUGGAAAAUAACCAUAAACUGUAUAUUGACUUCAAAAUGACUUACCAACAGGAAAAUAUUAGAACUGAUCCUGAAGCGCUCAAGGCUUUCCGAUUGCAACAUCGUGAAAUUCAAAGCCAUCUGCAACAACAAAAGAACCCAUUACUGACCAAGCAGCACUGCUGGAUGAAGACUGUUAUUAUGAUGAAGAGUUACACUUACAAUUCAAGGUUCAUUACAAGCUGGUCUCAACUCUCUUCUAAAAUUUUCCUUGUGAGAAAUGCUUUUGUGAUUUCAUCUUGGUGAGAAUUAUCCUUUCAUACUUUUCAAAGCAAUGUUUUAAGUGUCUUUCCUUCCCAUUUGGGAUUUUUCUGCAAGAAGUCACUUUCUGCAAGUUACUGCCAAGCAGAUUUGCCCACUGUGGAAUCCAUUUGACUUUGCUGUGCAAGAUUUUGGACCUUUUUAACAAGUAAGUUUUGUAUCAGGGCUUCAACAUUCAUCUGAAAGCAGAAACAAACCCAAUCUCCUUGUAUUUUAAUUGUAUCUUUUGCAUAACGUGCUCAACAAACAGUCGCAAACAUCUAGCCAAAGGUGCUUUAAGUCAGGGAAUACAGACAAACACAUUUCUUCCUUGGAUGAAAAGACCUUUGCUUUUAAUCAGGUUUGUUUCAUUCUAGAAUACUGGUGUCUUCGCUUUAUAGAUGGCCUUUGUAGAGAGUUCCAGUUACUUGUUGAGGUUUGAUAAGUUUUCAUUAAAUGCUAAGUGGCAAAAGGCAGCCCAAGAGGCAUUGAUUCCAUCUGACACCAGUCACAUGGUUUCGUAGAGCAAUCAGUUGCAUCUUUCUUUUACAGUAUAUUCUGUUUUGGGGCAGUGCAUAAUAAUCACAUUUUGAGUAAAGGCUGGAUAAUAAAUUUUACCACGUGCCAAUACUGUAAAGAAAAGACUCCUAGCUCUCAAAUACUGCAUGCAGGUAUGGUACCUCAGUGGGAUACACUUUAGGGAUGAAUGUAUAAUUCUGCCUUCUAGUUUACUAUGACCAUACCAAUUACUCUGGCCAUUCAAAAUAAAUAAAAUAGACCUCGUUGUUUUGCCUCCCUGCAAAGCCGCUUGUAGAAUAUUUUUAGCUGUAACCACUCCAUGCUCCAAGCUGACUGUAGCAGCAAUUGGUGUUCUUGCACCACUUGAUUAGUUGGAUAAAUUCUGCAUGCUCAUGUCUGGGAUCCAUGGCAAUAGAGUUACGUUGCUAUGCUAUGAAAUGUGCAGGAGGGUGCAACCCUUCAGAAGGGAUAUGAUUUCUGGAGCUGAUGAAACUUUGCAGCGUAGGCAAGAAAGAAUGCUUAAGGCAACAAACAAAAGAAAUCUCUGGAAUGGUGACAAGUAUCACUCAGGUCGGUGGGUAUAGGCAGAGCACCCAUCUCUCAGGGAAACAGCUAUCUGGAAAUUGUUAAAAAAUUAUGUUGUGGGCAAAGAUUAUCCUAAUUCUGUGCUGGACAUCUGAGAAGAGAGCACAUGGCAGCAGCAUGUAAAACAGGUAUUUAUGUGAAGGGCUGAAUUAACCCAUCAUGAUACGUACAGGAGCUUUUAGUCAGGGCUAGUAAAGUGAGAAAACUAAAAGCCAGGGUUCUAACUAAAAGCUGAAAAACAGCUCACAAACUAUCUGAUAGAUGUAACUAUUAUUUCUGGCUUUACUGAUGACAGGAUUUCUUUUUUUCCCCUGGCACAAUAAGCAAAAGUAUCCUCAGACCUGUUGUUUUAGUGAAUGCAAAAAACUCUUCCUGUUUUCAUGGCCUGGGAAGAGGAGGGAAGAUGAGAAGUCUGUACCUGUAUUUUUCCCUAGGCACUGUGGUACCAUCAGGAAUCAAGUGGACUGCUGCUGCCAGCAUCUCAAAGAUGAAUAAAUUCAAGAAAAAGGAGGUGGGGAAAAAGAAAUAAAAAAAAAAAAGGUAAAAAUACCUAUGCUUUCACAUGCCAGAGAGGUUUUCUGUUCUCUUCGGGUCUUGACACUGCUAGCUGAAUUACCCAAGAGACUGAAUUUAAAAGCUUGGAGUUGUGACAGGUUUUUGUUCUUGACCAGGAUCCUACCUGAAGUGAAAGGAGCAAUGUAACACAUCUGGAAGGAUACGUAAGGACUGUAAAUCUACUAAAAUUCUACUGCCUUAUUAGAACUGUAAUCUUGAAAUGUUUGUUCUAAGCAGUUUUCUCCACAUUAAAUUUAAUAUUUCCCUAAAGUGCCAAAUAGAAAAGGCUCUGCUCUGUUAAACACUGUUAAAAACAUAUGAAGACAACACGUAGCCCAGAAGACCUUUCAAUCUAAGGCCAGUAAUACCAAAGGAAAAGCAGGUAUCAAAUAAACAGUCUUAAUUUGA